GAACUAUGCACUGCAAUUUUCUCCAAGAUAGCAAUACGAAACAUUCGUUCUAUUUCCAAGAGGGUAAUCACUUGUAUUUCUUCUUCCCUUCUCUUUUGUGCUUUGCCAGGAGAGAUAGCUAUGGGACUGUUAUUGGUUAAUUGAAGGGAAUUUUUUCUUUUCAUUUUUUUUUGUAGUUUGGAUUUACUUUUCUUCUUUGUUUGGUACAAUGAAUCUAUUCGACUUCUAGCAUCUUAACUUAA
rnacentral:lncRNA from 1 species